GAGCUCGCAGUUGGUAGAGUGUGAGACUCUUCAUCUCUGGGCCGUGGGUUCGAGUCCGACAUUGAGCA